GCGAGGGAGUUGAUCCAACACACACCUGCUUUUUGGGGGCAGUUUUUUGUCACCUGGUUUCUGUCAACAUUACCUAAAUUAUCAUAAAUUGAUCUAAAAACUUUUUUCCAUCUAAGAUAUAAAUCUUUACUCCCAAGGUCAAAAAGUGUACUAUAGUGUUUAUUAUAAAAUAAUUCCUAGCCCCUAAGUUGGAUGGCAGGGACCCUUGGUAAAAGUCACCUCUUAGUUAUAAUAGUAUUUAACAAAAUAGAUGCAUUAAAAGGUAAUGGAAUAGAUUGAACUAUAACAUUUGACAGGACUUUGCCUUACAGAAAGCACUUCAGGUGGUCUCAGUAUACACUUGCUAGAGUAAUUAAAAGGCAACUACAGCGUAAACCUUUCAGAGGAGAAAAAGCCACAUGACAUCUAGGAGACUGCUUUAUCUGGGCCUCUCUUCUUUCUCAUUUGUCUCCCCACUUUGGCAUCUCCUGAAGCAGUUAAAAAUAAGCACUGCUUACAAAGAAAAGCAAAAUCAGCUUGCUUUGUUGGCCUAGAUAUUUUGGAUCCUUUAUUGAAAUGAGGCAGUGAGAUAGUUUCCAUGGUUGAAAUGUUUCCUGUGAGAAGAUCAGUUGCAAACCGUUUGAGUGUAUUUUGUAACAUGCUAUUUGGUCCUUGUGACGUGGAGUCAUCUUUAUUACAGUAGAAACAGAGCCUGGUGUCUCAUGAAAAUGCAUCUGCUUUGCCAUCAGCAAGCUUGUGCCCCAUGGUAACUGGAGAGCUGUUCUGACGCCUGGGGGCAGAGCUGGCUUUGUCCUAGCAGGGUCUCAUCAUGGGUACUGAGACUCAGACCCAGGACCUUGUGCACUCCCUCUGAGCUCUGUCCACAGCUAAAUUUAUUCUUCAUGUUUUUUGUUUGUUUGUGUCCAGCCCUGGGUCUCAGAAUUCUGAAGUAUGCCUUAGGUAGGAAGGAGACAAAAAACAAAUCAGGACUUGCUUUACCUGUUCUGAACCCCAGCAUAGCAUUCCUGAAGUUCUUCUUUCCUUACACAGAGCCCUUAACACACAUCCUUGUAGCCCCUCCCACCACCACCAUUCCUUUUCAGGCCUGUCCUUCAUCGUACCUAGACCCAGCCAAUGUCAUGAAAUCCACACAUGUGGCAGUCCAUUCAUGUGCCCAUUGACAUAGAAGUUAUAGGAAUGGCUUGGGGGUUAUUUGGUUAGGAUUUUUCAAAAUGAUUCAGAUGAUACAAUGCCAUUUAUAAAACCUGAUUUGGUGGUAGAACGCAGGUGAAUAGACCAAAAAUAUGGAGACCGUGGGGAAUAGUGCUCUUUGAGGCCUGGGGGCCCUUGUUUGUUUGUGUGGUUCUGGUGUUGGAACUUCAUGUAUGCCAGGGGAGCCUUCUAUCACUGGCUACUAGUGACAUCUCAGCCCUGGAGUUGUUUCUUUUGAAGUUUUGUCUACAUUAGUAUGCAGGUUCUCUUUUGAAGUCUACAGCAGAAUUUCACAGGCUUUUUGCAGCUUUCAGCCAAGACUAAAUAAAAAUUCUAAACCACACUGUAGAAGCAAACCUGAGGUGACUAAACUGAGGGGGAAAAGAAAUUAAAUGUCCCAUUUCUUGUGACUGUUAGCAGACAGUUUAUAUCCUGCUUACAGAGCAGCAUGGGUUGGUAGGGAGGUCCUCCCUCCAGCACACGGUCUCCCAGCACUGGCUGCCUUUAGAGAACUAGGACCCUUCCUCUGGUGCUAGCAAAGUCCUACAGGGCUGAGCACUUUAAGGAGGUUUGUGACUUUUACCAAGGGGAUGCCAUUAAAAUGACAAUUCUAUUUCUAGAUUAGACUAAAAUAAGCCAAAGAAUUCUAAAGAAUGAGUCAUUGCCCCAUGGGUUGGUUAACGCCAUUACUCCUAGACAGACUGGGAGGUGGCUGAGUGGGGUGGCUUUAUGCUUGUGGCCACUGGACUAUAAUUUGCCCUUCUAUUUAGAAAAUGCUUGGGUGUCAGAUGGAGAGGCACCACCUUGCUACGUGCAUGUACCAGGCAAGGUACCAAAGAUAACAAAUGAAAAACAAACCCAUGAUUUCUUUGGGCUCUUAGAAGGUGUCCAAGGCUCAGUGCUUGCCUCUGCCUCUCUCCCUCUUUCUCUCUGCCUGGCACAGACACUGGGGCUUUGUCAUUUAGUUCUUGAUUAUACUUACUCAAACCUGUUUUGUUUUUUGAGCCAGGUGGUGGUGGUGCACACCUUUAAUCCCAGCACUUGGGAGGCAGAGACAGGUGGAACUCUGACUUACAGCCCAGCCUGGGCUACAAGGUGAGUUCCAGGACAGCCAUGGCUACACAGAAAAAACAAACCAACAGCAACAACAAUAACAAAAAAACACACACUCAUACAAACACUUUUUAAAAACAAGAAUCAUAAGCAAAAAUGCCUUUCUUUUCUGUCUGUGGUGGGUCCACCCAGGAGGAGAAGCCUUCAGGAGACUCCUGACAGUAGUGGUACAUGGCGAGUACCUGUACUAAGGAGUUGGCUUGUUCUUGCUUUCUUAUUUUCAUAUCACAGUUUCCAUUGUAGGUUGUCAUUUCCCAAAUACUGCAAAGCCCAAGUAUCUAAAUGGCAUCCUUUUACAGGUAAUACUAUAGAUGUCUGUCAAACCUUACUCCCAGACAGCAGCUAUAUAAGCUAAGGCUAUGGAAUACCAAAAACAAUGUCAGAAAUAUAAUACUUGCCAUUAUUCCGAAUUUUCAAUUCAAAGCAUGUUUUAUAGUUCUGAAAACACUUCUAAUAUUUUUGUUUCUGUGAGCUCUUUGUUCUGAGAGAGCAGAUAAAUAACUAUAGUAAAACCGAUGGCUUCCUAUCAAAGUGGGACCACAGGAUAGAAAAAAUACAUGAAGCUGUCAGUUGACUCAUUAAAAUAUUCCAUUUUGAUCAUUUGGACUCUUCUGAUUAAAGCCACCAGGACAUGUAACUUUAAAAAGAGACAGCACCUCACAAUGUGUGUAGUCCUGGUCUGAUGUUGUAAAUGUAGGUAAUCAGCUGUUCCUAACUGGAAACAUCUGCAUGCAGAGAUCAGAAUAUCUCCCAUUGGCACACACACUAUAUUCAUAGCGAAUCUGGAAGUUCCUAAUGUGCAUAUCCUUUGGGGGUUCUUUAGCUGUUGGCCCAUCAUGGGGGCACACUAGUGCAAGAUUACUGCUUCAGAGUUCUAAUCGUAGAGUCACUCUGAGGAGCUGCAUCGCUGAGGCAGGUUGGUCUGUCUCAGUGGAGUUUGUCCCCCGUGAAGUACUGUCCUGUCCAUGAUCCUCUUCAGUGCAUUGAAAAGCACUGCUAUGCAUCUGUGGAGAUAAUGAUUUGGCCCCACUCCUAUCAUUCUCGGUAGUGUGCACCACAACCACAACAAAACACAAACAACCCCCGGGAGGAUCAGGUUGCCCGGGUCUGUAACAUGACAAGAAUAGUAACCCUUACUUUACAGUCUAUGUGCUUAAAGUUCUUGUAGUGACCCUGUCACUUUCCUGGGAGCCCAGGGUGCUGAGGUGUCUCCAGAGGCCAGGGCUUGUUUUGACUGUGUGGAAGUCACUGUGUUUGCUGUCAGGACCUUGUUCUUUGUUCCCUCUGCUCAGUGUUCCUAUUUUGGGUGAUUGUAUAUAAAUGUACACCUGCAUUAUUUUUGCUAUGCUGCUUAAAAUAUUUCUCCAUUUAAGUCUGACUGUAUACUUUGCCUAAGUCUUUCAAAAAUAAAAUUUAUGUAAAUG
rnacentral:lncRNA from 1 species